rnacentral:rRNA from 1 species
GACGAACGCUGGCGGCGUGCUUAACACAUGCAAGUCGAACGCUGAAGCUUGGUGCUUGCACUGGGUGGAUGAGUGGCGAACGGGUGAGUAAUACGUGAGUAACCUGCCCUUGACUCUGGGAUAAGCCUGGGAAACUGGGUCUAAUACUGGAUACGACAUGUCACCGCAUGGUGGUGUGUGGAAAGGGUUUUACUGAUUUUGGAUGGGCUCACGGCCUAUCAGCUUGUUGGUGGGGUAAUGGCUCACCAAGGCGACGACGGGUAGCCGGCCUGAGAGGGUGACCGGCCACACUGGGACUGAGACACGGCCCAGACUCCUACGGGAGGCAGCAGUGGGGAAUAUUGCACAAUGGGCGGAAGCCUGAUGCAGCGACGCCGCGUGAGGGAUGACGGCCUUCGGGUUGUAAACCUCUUUCAGCACGGAAGAAGCGAAAGUGACGGUACGUGCAGAAGAAGCGCCGGCUAACUACGUG